rnacentral:lncRNA from 1 species
GUUCGUCUGUGCAGGUGCUGAUGGGGAGAAAGAUGGAGGAUUGGCUGAGGUUCUCAGUCUGCUACUGGCACUCCUUCUGUGGCACUGGUACUGUAGUACUGGUCCAACACUCAUAUCGUCAUCAGUCCUCAAACAGUCUGUGUGAAUAGGCUUUUGCAAAUGCACAUGAACGCUGUCAUGCUAUUGUCUUCUAGGCCAUUAUAGUUUCUGUCUUUUUGAGCCCAACAAAUGCUCUAUUCUUUCUUUCUUCUGUUAUUAGGAGCUGAUCCUUUUGGGUCUCCGACCCUCCACCGGCCCUGGAACAUAGGAACUCCUAUGGAAUCCGCCAAGAAGCGACUCCGGGCCGCUUUUGAGUUUUUCGCCAAGCUCGGGGUGAAAUACUACACAUUUCACGACAGAGAUAUGGCUCCUGAGGGCUCCACCCUGGAGGAGUCCAACAGGAAUCUGGAUGAAAUAACAGACCUGGCUCUCCAGCUGCAGAGCCAGACUGGAAUCAAGGUGCUGUGGAUCACCUGCAACCUCUUUGCCCACCCACGGUACAUGAACGGUGCAGCCACCAACCCGGACUGUCAUGUUCUGGCCUACGCUGGCGCUCAGCUUAAGAAGGGGCUUGAUACCGCCAAGAAGCUGUGUGCAGACAAUUUUGUGUUUUGGGGAGGAAGGGAAGGUUUCCUCUCCGUCCACAACACAGACGUUGCAGCGGAACUGAAGCACAUGGCCAACUUCUUCAAGAUGGCCGUCCGUAAGUGUGCUCGUGAACACAGGAUUAAUUCCAAAACAGAGUUUUUAGUCGGGUCACACUUUCUUUUUUUAAAAUUUCAUUUGUGUGUAUUUGUCAUUAGAGUACAAAGAGAAGAUUGGGUUAAAAUGUCAGUUUCUUAUCGAACCCAAGCCUAA